AUAGCCCCUACAAGACCCAGUGGAAAUAAAACUGUGAGACAUUAAAAGACUGCAAGAGGAUCUCUAUAAAUAGGAAGCAGCGUUCAGUGAGAGUGGGCAGUGUGGAGGAGGGGAUUAAGUAACAAACACAAAUUUCCAUGGAAAAUGAUAUUCUGCCAUACAGCCAGCCAUAUUACAGCAUCUCUGAUCUUGCCUUCUUCUGACACACACAUCCUAUCAUUAUCUGACCACUUGUUUCCUAUCAAAAGAUGACCUUGGAAGAGUAAAAAGAAAGAGGAAUGUAGUAUAAAGGAAAAGACCAAAAAAAUAAAAAAUAAAAAAGAGGUUUUCUCGCCAGCAGGAAAAAAAAAACCCUACACAUAUAAUAAUCCUUUCCAGUCUUGAUAAUACAGUCUGUGAAGUGAUAUCGCCUGGCAUUGCUCUGCUUGCUGCCGCGGAACUACUGCAGCUUAGACCAUCUGGGGCCUGGCCUUUUGCUCCCAGCAUCUGCUGGUGUGACACAGACUGACGGGGAGGACACAAAGAGCAUUCAGGCAAACAUUCAGCACCUUGCCCCGUUCUCACUGGCACUGAGAUCCUGCCGAAUUCAUGAGGAGUUUUAGGAAAGUCAGGAGGAGUGUGGUCCUUGGGGUCCCUAGGCCUAUUAAAGACACAGAGCCUUGAUUUCCAGCAAUGUUGAUUUCAUAGUAAAUCUGCAGCAACUGUGUGAAACUGAGGCCUGGCCUUCCAGAUGCCUUUUUUCUGAAGUCAAGCAGCACCAUUUUUUAUUUUUUUUUCAGCAGUUUCUUGUUUGUAAGGAGUCACAGGAGCAUAAGGACCGGCAGAGCAGGUCAGCCUCAGGUGCACGAAGUCCACAGGCCCGUGUCCAACCAUGGCCCCAAACAGAUGAUAGGGAGCAAGAUCAGAUGCAUGGAAAUGCUGCCUGAUGACUCACACUGUGUUAACUGUGUUGCGGACACAAGCAGAGUACGAGUGGAUUUCUUCGCCGGAGAGCUCAUGUUGAAGAAAUAAAGACCUCAGUAACAACAGGCAACAGAAAUGUCUCAGGUCAUGCGUCACGCUGGAGAGGCUGAUAAAUGCCAGCAUUAGAAAAGACCAUGUCUGACUAUGGAGCUGUGCUGUAAUUGGCUUAUUGAACUGACUGGUGUAAGAAAUUACCAUUUUUUUUCCUGAAGUUGGUCUGAGAGAGAACUUACCCUGCAUUGCUGCUGCCUCCCUUUUAUCAUCAAAUUGCAAUCUCAGAUUGCCCAGUCUAUUUGCCAGCCUGGUGCGCAGUUAUUUGCAGACCAAGCAACAAUGCACUGGGGAGGUAUUUCCAGCAGAGAAAACAGAAGUGGCAUUCACAGACAUCUCCCACUGCCUGCGGUGGGAGCUGAGGGAGGUAUCUGAUGACGCUAGCUUUCUGGCUAUGUGCAUUUAGUUGCUAACCUUGAGCUCUACUGACUGUGGACUCUU
rnacentral:lncRNA from 1 species